rnacentral:lncRNA from 1 species
AACCCGAAACUACGCCACCGUACCGAAACUUUCGAAACGCCGCGCCGACGGGUCUUCGGAGUGCGCGCGCUCGAAGCGACCAAGCGGCAGCCAUUACCACCAGCGUCGGCGCAUUGUUCUGCCGUCGUUGGUGUCUCCCGCAGUUUCGAACAGCCAAGACUCCACGACUGCAGCCGUUUCAUUGCCAGCUGUAAGGAUGAAGCAGCUUCAUAGCCGGACAUCAGACGCCUUCCAAGUUCCCCUUUUCAGCAACAGAGGCAUAGGAUGCCAUUCUACCUGUGCUGCAUUGUGUGGCUGACCACUCCUAGGAUCUCAGCAGAAUCAUUACACAGGAAGUCCUGCUGACCCCAAGCAUGGUGUGAAAUGAAGAAAUGGCACUCCACAUCCAUAGAGAGCUUGAUUUCCCCUGUGUCAUGGUUACUUGUUGGCAUAGCCAGUCUGUUAGCUUAAUUUUUGGUUCUUCCCUAUUGAAUGCUCAAGAAAGGCACCAAAACUGUCAUUCAUUGAAAAAAAAAUUGUUUGCAGACACUGCCAUGCACAAAGCCCUUGACCUCAUUGAAUGUUUUUAAAAGAAAAUGCAGCUUCUGUGUGCAGCAAUAGGCUGAACAAGACGAGGGCAAACAGGAAGGUUGCGACAUUAGUGUUCAAGAGUUGGCCAACAAAGAAGGUCACAAGCUGAAGCCAACAUCUUUACAAGGGAACAAAUGGAUUUAGCCUGAGCCAUUCCCUGUUCGACCAGCCAAGUCUCCUUGUCGAAACA